AUUGAACGCUGGCGGCAGGCUUAACACAUGCAAGUCGAGCGGGGUGAUGGUGCUUGCACUAUCACUUAGCGGCGGACGGGUGAGUAAUGCUUAGGAAUCUGCCUAUUAGUGGGGGACAACAUCUCGAAAGGGAUGCUAAUACCGCAUACGUCCUACGAGUGAAAGCAGGGGAUCACUUGUGACAUUGCGCUAAUAGAUGAGCCUAAGUCGGAUUAGCUAGUUGGUGGGGUAAAGGCCUACCAAGGCGACGAUCUGUAGCGGGUCUGAGAGGAUGAUCCGCCACACUGGGACUGAGACACGGCCCAGACUCCUACGGGAGGCAGCAGUGGGGAAUAUUGGACAAUGGGGGGAACCCUGAUCCAGCCAUGCCGCGUGUGUGAAGAAGGCCUUAUGGUUGUAAAGCACUUUAAGCAAGGAGGAGGCUCUUUUGGUUAAUACCCAAGAUGAGUGGACGUUACUCGCAGAAUAAGCACCGGCUAACUCUGUGCCAGCCGCCGCCGUAA
rnacentral:rRNA from 1 species